rnacentral:rRNA from 1 species
UACGUAGGGUGCGAGCGUUGUCCGGAAUUAUUGGGCGUAAAGAGCUCGUAGGCGGUGUGUCACGUCGGCCGUGAAAACCUGCAGCUUAACUGUGGGCGUGCGGUCGAUACGGGCAUCACUGGAGUUCGGCAGGGGAGACUGGAAUUCCAGGUGUAGCGGUGAAAUGCGUAGAUAUCUGGAGGAACACCGGUGGCGAAGGCGGCAUCCUGGACCGAUACUGACGCUGAGGAGCGAAAGCCAGGGGAGCAAACGGG